GUGGGGAAUAUUGGACAAUGGGGGCAACCCUGAUCCAGCAAUGCCGCGUGUGUGAAGAAGGCCUUCGGGUUGUAAAGCACUUUCGAUGGGGAAAAACAAGCUCGACCUAACACGUCGGGCCCUGAUGGUACCCAGAGAAGAAGCACCGGCUAACUCUGUGCCAGCAGCCGCGGUAAUACAGAGGGUGCAAGCGUUAAUCGGAAUUACUGGGCGUAAAGGGUGUGUAGGUGGUUUGUUAAGUCAGGCGUGAAAUCCCCGGGCUCAACCUGGGAAUUGCGUCUGAUACUGACAGACUCGAGUGUGGUAGAGGGUAGUGGAAUUCCGCAUGUAGCAGUGAAAUGCGUAGAUAUGCGGAGGAACAUCAGUGGCGAAGGCGGCUACCUGGACCAACACUGACACUGAGGCACGAAAGCGUGGGUAGCAAACAGGAUUAGAAACCCGAGUAGUCC
rnacentral:rRNA from 1 species